UACGGAGGAUCCAAGCGUUAUCCGGAUUUAUUGGGUUUAAAGGGUGCGUAGGCGGCCUGUUAAGUCAGAGGUGAAAGACGGUAGCUCAACUAUCGCAGUGCCUUUGAUACUGACGGGCUUGAAUGAACUAGAGGUAGGCGGAAUGAGACAAGUAGCGGUGAAAUGCAUAGAUAUGUCUCAGAACACCGAUUGCGAAGGCAGCUUACUAUGGUUUUAUUGACGCUGAGGCACGAAAGCGUGGGGAUCAAACAGG
rnacentral:rRNA from 1 species